GAUGAAGAACGUAGCGAAAUGCGAUACGUAAUGUGAAUUGCAAAUUCAGUGAAUCAUCGAGUCUUUGAACGCACAAUGCGCCCCCUGGUAUUCCGGGGGGCAUGCCUGUCCGAGCGUCAUUGCUGCCCUCAAGCACGGCUUGUGUGUUGGGCCCCGUCCUCCGAUCCCGGGGGACGGGCCCGAAAGGCAGCGGCGGCACCGCGUCCGGUCCUCGAGCGUAUGGGGCUUUGUCACCCGCUCUGUAGGCCCGGCCGGCGCUUGCCGAUCAACCCAAAUUUUUAUCCAGGUUGACCUCGGAUCAGGUAGGGAUACCCGCUGAACUUAAGCAUAUCAAUAAGCGGAGGA
rnacentral:misc_RNA from 1 species